UAGGGAAUCUUCGGCAAUGGACGAAAGUCUGACCGAGCAACGCCGCGUGAGUGAAGAAGGUUUUCGGAUCGUAAAACUCUGUUGUUAGAGAAGAACAAGGACGUUAGUAACUGAACGUCCCCUGACGGUAUCUAACCAGAAAGCCACGGCUAACUACGUGCCAGCAGCCGCGGUAAUACGUAGGUGGCAAGCGUUGUCCGGAUUUAUUGGGCGUAAAGCGAGCGCAGGCGGUUUCUUAAGUCUGAUGUGAAAGCCCCCGGCUCAACCGGGGAGGGUCAUUGGAAACUGGGAGACUUGAGUGCAGAAGAGGAGAGUGGAAGUCCAUGUGUAGCGGUGAAAUGCGUAGAUAUAUGGAGGAACACCAGUGGCGAAGGCGGCUGUCUGGUCUGUAACUGACGCUGAGGAUAGAAAGCGUGGGGAGCAAACAGG
rnacentral:rRNA from 1 species